GGUGGCUCAGUGGUAGAGUACUUGCCUUGCAUGCAUGAGGCCCAGAGUUCGAUUCCUCAGCACCA
rfam:Dipodomys ordii contig_40470, whole genome shotgun sequence.